AGAAUUUAUCAGAAAGUGGGACAUUGCAGGAGUUCAUUUAUUUUUAUUUUUAAAAUUUGAUGGAAAAAAAAUGUUAGUGUUGAGAAAGCUUUAGAGUUCAGAAUAUUUUUAUCCUGAUGCUAACUGUUUAUCUUAUGUUUUAUUUUAUUUUCUUUCUUUUUCUUUUGAUUCAAAACUCUCCAUUGCCCUUAUGGUUUUUUUAAUUGUUUCUGUGGUACUCUGUCAAUUAUAUCCAAAAUGUGUUUUAACAGAUUUGCCAAUCCCAGUUUGGUCUUUGUAUAUAUAUAUAUAUUGACAUACGAGGACCCACACAGAGUGAACAAGUAUGGAAUCGCAUUUGUAUGCACAUACAAAUGUGUAACCGCAACUUUAUGUAUUUUUACUUUUUUCUGUCCCCGCCCUCUCCCAAACUAGAAUCAGUUUGCUUUAUAUCUUUAUCUAUUCAUCAUUUGCUUCUUUUUGGGAGGCUUGAUUUUGCUAGAGAUGGAUUGUAUGCACAUACAGAUCUAUUCAUCUAUUUAUCAUUUACUUCUUGUGAAUAUAAUUAAAUUAACAAUGUUUCUUUUUUCAUUUGAAAAUAUUCUUCUUAUUCAUUUAUGAUGUCCCAGGUACCUCAAAUUGGGCCUUUUGAAGAAGAAACGGUUCAGCUGCAGUGUCCAGUACCUGAACCACAAUCUCCAGCAAACUCAAAGAUCAGAGUUCGGUUUCAGUUUUGGAAGCCCCAUUUGUGGAAGAUGUAAACGUAAUAUCACUUGGUUCAGAAUGCUUUGGGAGAGUCAAUGUUGAUCUUCACGGUUUUCGAAUGCAGCUUAAGCUACUGAAGAUGGAGUUUGGAGCAAAUGCAGAUGGACUAAUGCUUACAGCAAGUGACAAAGAUGUUGGCCAAGGAUUUGUCUCGGUCUCGGAGGACAAUGAAAUAUUUAAUGAUGAGAGUUGGGAAUCUUUCCAUCUAAUUGAUGUGCUAAUCGACUCUGGAUAUGAUGAUGUUGACCCUGACACUUUCGUGUCAACAUGGUACUCUCUCGAUUGUUCUAUGGACCCUUGUUUAUUUGACAACGUUGGGAAGAAGUAUUCCAAGAAGUACUAUUUGAAUCCAAUUAGUUGGCCAUCGUUGUACUUUAUUGGUUGAUUGGAGUUGUUGCAAUAGACUAAAAAUUUGUUAUGGUGUUCUCCUGUA